UAUAAGUUAUAUGUUGAAUCUCGGAUUUUGAUGAUGAAACCAAUUGAGAGUGUUUAAGAUUUGAUCUGCGUUUUGAGUGACGCAAAAAGCUUCGAUCAGGGAGAGACAAUUAAAGCAGGAAGAAUCAUGUUGGGCCGGAGAGAAACAUGUCAGAAGAUUGGACGUCGAGCUGGAGGAUCGGUCGACAUAUCGACAGAAGACUUCGGGCCAUGAGUUCGGGCAUCGAGCCAAGAAAAGCGAAAAUUCGCCAAGAAAAUCGGAGUUGCAAAGGUCAACUGGCCAAUUGGGCAAUAGGCUGCAAGAGAGGACGAUGCGCCGAAGAAUCAGAUGAAGCGUCGAUGAACCAAUGACAUGCCAGACAACAUGAUUCAAGCUUUGUAAUAAUUGUCUAGAUCGAAGUAGGCUUUAUUUGUGCAGGAUUAACUACGAUAGUGAUCAAGGCAUAAAGCAAAAUGAAGUCCCGGAGUCAAGAAUGAGACUUCGUUGGGAGUUCGAGAGUUCGUCGGAAGUCCGGACGUUCGUUAGAAGUUUUGCCGGAAUUGACCAAGAAGUCCAGGAACUUGCCGAAGAAGCUUGUCGGAACUUGCUAAGAAGAUCGUCGUGAAGUCCAAGAGCUUGCCGGGAGUCCGCUGGAACAUUGCCGAGAGAUCAUCGGAAGUUUGUCGGAAGAUCGCCGGAAGCUCGUCGGAAGAAACCUAGACUAACCGGACCGGAUUUGCUUAGUGUAUGCCUUAAAUUUCGUAGUUAGCACAUAAUUAGGAUUGGAAUUGGGCCAACCCAAUUAGGGGCCAGUUAGGCCCAUGUAUGGACUGUGUUGGGCUAAGUGAAAGGCCCAAACAGUGACACCAACAGGUGGCACUGUCGUGGCAUAGUCUCCGAGACUGUGCCAGGCAGUGGUAUCGUCAGACUGGGCAGUAGUACCGCCCAAUGUCAGUGUUAGGCAGUGGUACCGCCUAGACACAAUCUCCUAGGCGGUGGCACUGCUAGAUUGGGUGGUGGUACCGCCCAGUGUCAGUGGUGCAAGCGGUGGUACCGCCAGGACCCGAGAAACCCGGGAUGAGACCUUUUUAUGCUCCAAGUUUGAAUCAACUUGGGGCCUAUAAAUACCCCUCUCAUCCCUGGUUAACAUACACAAGCACAGAGAACUUAAAAGUGAGAAAACGCUAUAGAAAUUAUUUGAGAGAUCCCCUCCUCUAGCUUAAACUUAGAAUUCUGUUUAGAGAGGAAUGUGUGAUUGUAAAAGGUUGUCUCCUAAACCUGUGAAAAGGAGAAGAGGGUGUAAAAGGGUAGUUAGUCUUCGCCCAUUGAAAGAAGACCGUUAGUGGAUGCCGGUGGCCUCGACAGAAGAAGAAUCGGGAGUGGAUGUAGGUCACAACGACCGAACCACUAUAAACUCGGUUUGCAUUUCUUUUGAGUAAUUUACUUUAACUUCAAACUUCCUUACUUGCUAUACUCUUCCGUACGCUUUCAAUUUAAGCAUCUUUACGAAACGGGUUUAAUCGAAACGAAUUCUUAGAAUCGACGUUUUUAUCCGCUACACUAAUUCACCCCCACCCUACCCCCCCCCCCCUAGUGCCGACUUAUUCCUAACAGUUUGUAUCAAAGCCACAUUUUUCUCAUUUGGUUUAACACCCAAAGAGAAAUGGCUCUUUUCGGCUUUCAAGAGGGUCACUCUCUCAUUCGUCCUCCCAUGUUCAAUGGGACGGACUACACAUGUUGGAAAACUUGAAUGAGAGUUUUCUUGCUUUCAUUGAAUCUCGAUUUAUGGAAUAUAAUCGAAUUUGGUUUUCAAAAGUCUUCUCUUCCAAUGAAAGAUUGGAAUGAGUUGGAGAAGACUUUCUCUUUAAAUGCAAAUGCUAUGAAUGCCUUAUUUUGCGCCUUAGACAAAAAUAAAUUCAAUGGGUUUCUACUUACUAAACAACUUUCAAUAUUUAACACACUCUUGAAAUCACACACGAAGACACUAGUAGAGUUAAAGAUUCGAAGAUUAAUAUUUUGAUGCAUGAUUUUGAGUUGUUUCAAAUGGAACCAAGCGAGACUAUUGGAGACAUGUAUACCCGUUUUACGGAUGUCGUCAAUAGUCUAAAAGCUCUUAGUAAAAGUUUUUUUAACAUUGAACUUGUGAAUAAAAUUUUACGAUCUCUUUCUAAAAAUUGGGAUUCAAAAGUAACGGAAAUACAAGAGGCUAAAGACCUAAACAACCUUACUCUUGAAGAACUUAUCGGGUCAUUAAUGACCUAUGAAAUGACUUAUGUGACACAUGACAAACUUGAGAACAACCUUCCAAAGAACAAGAAGAAUUUGACACUUAGAACACAUGAAGACUACUCAAGUGAAAGCUCAAGUGAUGAUGAACUUGAAACUCUCACUAUAAAACAUAAAAAUUUUAUUAAACAAGAAUUAAAAAAUAAAAAUGAACUUAAAAAAAAGAAGUUGCCAAAGAAGAAGAUAACACUCAAAGUGACUUGGGACGAAAUGAGUGCAUCCGAAGAAAAGGAGCAAACCGAUGAAGACGAAACGAUAAACUUGGCCUUGGUGACUCUCGACAAUGAGGUAAACAACUCAAACAAAACUCCUUUACUUUAUUUUGAAAUUACUUGAUGAUGUUUCAUGAAUUAUUUUUAAAUUAGUUAGUAAGCAAAUAAAAAUAAAAAAUAAAAAAUUAUAUAUCAUGCUUCUCUUUCUAAGUGAUUUUGAAAAAAAAAUUAAAAUUUGAGCAUGACAAUUGCAUGUUAAUUCCUAGCACUAAGCAUUAAAAGUUAGAUUCACUUAAAAAAAAAAAUACAUUUUGAAAAUGCUUUAUGUUUUAUGAAAUCAAUUUUGAUGAUUUAAUGAUGUAAUGAAAAUGUCAAGAGGUUUGAUAUCAAGCUUAAUGAGUUUAUAGUUUGAAAUUGUGCAUGUUAUAUCUUAAAAACUUAAAACCAUGUUUUGGCAUUAUGCCCAAAGUAAUGAUGCAUAAUGAUCAUGUUUAAUGAGUUUUUCUUUCGAAAUUAUGCAUGAUGAUUUUUUGUGAUUUAUAGAUUAUCGAUCUUUGCCGUAAUGAAAGUUCCUUUUCGGUUUUAAACGUUGAUGCAUGUUUUUAUUUGACAUAAUGAAAAAGACAUACUUCUAUGAAAUAAACCACAUGAAUUGAAACAACUAAAAAGAGAAAAGCAUUUUUCUUGAAAAUUUAUUUUUCUCUAUAUUAUCGAUUUUUCACUAAGAGAUUGAUAAAGUUGUUUAUGUCAUUUUGAAUCUCUUUAAAGUAAUUUUGAUGAUUUGACGAUUUGAAUUUAAAUGAGCUUUAUCUUGAUUUUUCGAGAUUUAUAACUUGAGAUUUCUUAUGUAUGAAUCAAGAUAUUAUAUUAUUUGAUCUCCUAUGUUUCUUUUUGCCAUUUAUAAAAAGACGAGAUUUGUUGAAAUAAAUCAUGUCUUGUGGCAUUCAUGAUUUGAUAUUAAUAUCUUUCAUGUCAUGAUUUUCAUACGACACCUUUGUAUUUUUGUGAUGACUUGAACAUUUACACCAUUAUGUUCUUCCAUUCUUCUUUCUUAUUUACAAUGACAAAAGGGGGAAAGAAAAUAGCUAGCAUUUCAAGAGAACCAAAUUUGCUAGCUUGAAUGAUAAACUUAGACAUGUUAGAGCUCCCAAAUGCAUAAAUUCUUCUUAUACAUUUUUCGGAUCAUGAUCUUGAUUUCUCAAAUUCUAGACUUGAUCUUUCAUUUUUUAUUAUUGAAAUAAUGAUUGGAAUAUUGAUGUAAUUAUGAAUGAUGAUUUGGUAUUAUGCAUGCAAUACUUCAACUUAUGAUAAUGAUGCAUGCAAUACUUCAACUUAUGAUAAUGAUGCAUGCAAUGAUGAAGUAUUUAUGAUGAAAAAUUGUUUUGACAUUCAUGACUUGAUUUUUCAUCUUUGUUAUUUAUCCUUGUCAUGAUUUGAAGAUUGUAGUAAAGAGAAAUGAAUUACACUAUUGUAUUGUUAUUCCUCUCUUUUUGCCAAUGACAAAGGGGGAGAAAGAAUUGCUAGUAUGCACAUCUCAAAAGAGAAAGAUUUGCUAGAUUGCACAAGUCAAGAAAAUACAAAAACAUGCUAGCUUGCUCAUCUCAAAAGAGAAGCAAAGAUUGCUAAAUUGCAUACUUCGAGAAGAAGGAAAAAGUUGCUAGCUUACACAUUACGAAGAAAAGCAAAAAGCUUGCUCAUUUCUUUGAAUUCAAAAAUUUUGUCAGCUUUCACAUGUGUAAAAUUUACUAGCUUACAAGUUCCAAAAUUAUGUAAAACUUACUAAAUUUGCUACCUUGCAAAUUGCAUAAAGAAAGAAUUGCUAGAAACGCAAAAAUGUUAGCUUCCACGUUUCAAGUAGAUGCAAAACUUGCUAUCAUGCAUAUAUCAAAAGGUGUAAAAAUUUUGUAAAAAACUUGUUAGCUUGUAUGAUGAUAAAACUUGAGAUUAUGUUUAUUAUACAAUGAUUUGAACUUGUAUGUCUAAACACUUAUAGUUGAACUUCUCCUUUUUGUUGAUGACAAAGGGAGAGAAGUAUGAUGCUAUGCAUGAUUUAUCAUGACAUGUUGUUUGGAUUUUUAAAUCCAAGAGUUCUAUCAAUAUGACAUAUUGAUAGAGGGAGUUAAAGUGAAUUCUGUCAUCAAUUGGUUAUCAUCAUUAAAAAGGGGGAGAUUGUUGAAUCUCGGAUUUUGAUGAUGAAACCAAUUGAGAGUGUUUAUGAUUUGAUCUGCGUUUUGAGUGACGCAGGAAGCUUCGAUCAGGGAGAGACAAUUAAAGUACGAAGAAUCAUGUUGGGCCUGAGAGAAACAUGUCAGAAGAUUGGACAUCGAGCCGGAGGAUCGGUCGACGUAUCGGCAGAAGGCUUCGUGCCAUGAGUUCAGGCAUCGGGCCAAGAAGAGCGGAAAUUGCCCCAAGGAAAUCGGAGUUGCGAAGGUCAACUGGCCGAUUGGGCAAUAGGCCGUAAGAGAGGACGAUGCGACGAAGAAUCGGACGAAGCGUCGAUGAACCAAUGACAUGUCGGACAACAUGAUUCAAGCUUUGUAAUAAUUGUCUAGAUCGAAGUAGGUUUUAUUUGUGCAGGAUUAACUACGAUAGUGAUCAAGGCAUAAAGCAAAAUGAAGUCCCGGAGUCAAGAACGAAACUUCGUUGGGAGUUCGAGAGUUCGUCGGAAGUCCGGACGUUCGUCGGAAGUUCUGCCGGAAUUGAUCGAGAAGUCCAGGAGCUUGCCGAAGAAGCUCGUCGGAACUUGCCAAGAAGAUCGUCGUGAAGUCUAGAAGCUUGUUGGGAGUUCGCUGGAACAUUGCCGAGAGAUCAUCGGAAGCUCACCGGAAGAUCGCUGGAAGCUCGUCGAAAGAAACCUAGACUAACCGGAACGGAUUUGCUUAGUGUAUGCCUUAAAUUUCGUAGUUAGCAUAUAAUUGGGAUUGGAAUUGGGCCAACCCAAUUAGGGGCCAGUUAGGCCCAUGUAUGGACUGUGUUGGGCUAAGUGAAAGGCCCAAACAAUGACC
rnacentral:lncRNA from 1 species